UGGGGAAUAUUGGACAAUGGGCGAAAGCCUGAUCCAGCCAUGCCGCGUGUGUGAAGAAGGCCUUUUGGUUGUAAAGCACUUUAAGUGGGGAGGAAAAGCUUAUGGUUAAUACCCAUAAGCCCUGACGUUACCCACAGAAUAAGCACCGGCUAACUCUGUGCCAGCAGCCGCGGUAAUACAGAGGGUGCAAGCGUUAAUCGGAAUUACUGGGCGUAAAGCGCGCGUAGGUGGUUAUUUAAGUCAGAUGUGAAAGCCCCGGGCUUAACCUGGGAACUGCAUCUGAUACUGGAUAACUAGAGUAGGUGAGAGGGGAGUAGAAUUCCAGGUGUAGCGGUGAAAUGCGUAGAGAUCUGGAGGAAUACCGAUGGCGAAGGCAGCUCCCUGGCAUCAUACUGACACUGAGGUGCGAAAGCGUGGGUAGCAACAGGAUUAGAUACCCUGGUAGUCCACGCCGUAAACGAUGUCUACCAGUCGUUGGGUCCUUUAAAGACUUAGUGACGCAGUUAACGCAAUAAGUAACCGCCUGGGGAGUACGCGCAUAA
rnacentral:rRNA from 1 species